rnacentral:lncRNA from 1 species
UAGUAAAAAACAAAGGAAAAGCAUUGAAAUUACAUCACAAAUUUGGAAAAAAAGAAAUAAAAGGCGUUGCAAUCGCAUCUCCAAUUUGCAAAAACGAAGAAAAGGGCAUAGAAAUUGUACCAAAAAUUUAGAAAAACGAGGAAAAGGCUUUGCGAUCCCACCUCAGAUUGGGAAAAAUAAGUAAAAAAUGGAAUAAAAAGCGCUUUGACCUCAACCUACUGCCCUCUCCCUUGCAGAGCGCGACGCCAAGCCCCCCGCCCUCUACGUCUUCCCCCCUCCUCCGGAGCAGCUCAACGCCCACGAGACCGCCACCGUCACCUGCUUGGCCAAGGGUUUCAACCCCCCGGACCUCUUCAUCCGUUGGCUCCGCAACGGCGAGCCCUUGCCGGCCUCCAGCUACGUCACCAUGCCCCCCGUGGCCGAAUCGCAACUGGCGCGCUCUUACUUCACCUACAGCGCCUUGAGCGUGGCCACCGAGGACUGGGGGGCCGGCAACGUCUUCACCUGCUUGGUGGGCCACGAGAGGUUGCCCUUGCAAGUGGCCCAAAAAUCGGUGGACAAGUCCUCGGGUAAACCCACCUCGGUCAACGUCUCCCUGGUGCUCUCCGACACCGCCAGCUCCUGCUAUUAAAAAAAAAAAAAUCAUUUUUCCCCCCCACCAUCCUCCUCCUCCUUCCGUCGGUUUUAUCUCAACGUGUUCAAAAACCCCCCCAAAAAAAAAAAAAAAAAAUAUGCAAUGUCAAAAAAAACCUGUUUCUGCAAUGCAAAAAAAAAAUAUAUGAAUUGUUUCUUCGAUGCAAAAUGUACCCCAAAUCCCCCCCAAAAAACUCUGUUUCUGCAUCCCAAAACUUGUCAACCUCCCCCCUUCGGGAUUUGUAUCCGCGGUGCAAAACCUGUGACCCCCCCUCCCCUCUCCCCGAGGGAGAACCGACGGAAAUAAAGCAAAACGAUGGAUUUUUGUUGGAAAACUGACCAAAAGCUCAUUUUUUGUCCGGGCUGGGCGGGGUGGGGGGCGCGCGGCGGUGCAGGCGGCGGCUGCGUGCAUCUUGGUCUUUGUAAAUCCUUCGUUUCGUCCUUUUUGGAUCAUGUUUUUUUGGAAAUCUUUGCAUUUUGGUCAUUUCAAAUCCUUGACUCUUGGUCUUUGCAUCUUGGUCUUUGUAAAUCCUUCGUUUCGUCCUCUUUGGAUCAUGUUUUUUGGAAAUCUUUGUGUCGUGGUUUUUGCAUCUUGGUCUUUGCAAAUUUUUCCUUCGUCCUCUUUGUAUCUUGGUCUUUGCAUCUUGGUCUUGGCAUUGUGCUCGUUCCAAAUUCUUCGCAUUUCUUGCACAUUUCUUUGCAAACCCUUUGCUUUUUGCUUUUUGCAAAUCCCUUUUUUUUUUUAUUUUUCAUGCUCUUUUUGCAUCGUGCUCUUUGCAGACCCUUUGCUUCUCUUGCCUCGUGCUCCUCAUCCCUUUGUGUCCUCCUCAUCCUCGUG